UAGGGAAUCUUCCGCAAUGGGCGAAAGCCUGACGGAGCAACGCCGCGUGAGUGAUGAAGGUCUUCGGAUCGUAAAACUCUGUUAUUAGGGAAGAACAAAUGUGUAAGUAACUAUGCACGUCUUGACGGUACCUAAUCAGAAAGCCACGGCUAACUACGUGCCAGCAGCCGCGGUAAUACGUAGGUGGCAAGCGUUAUCCGGAAUUAUUGGGCGUAAAGCGCGCGUAGGCGGUUUUUUAAGUCUGUUGUGAAAGCCCACGGCUCAACCGUGGAGGGUCAUUUGAAACUGGAAAACUUGAGUGCAGAAGAGGAAAGUGGAAUUCCAUGUGUAGCGGUGAAAUGCGCAGAGAUAUGGAGGAACACCAGUGGCGAAGGCGGCUUUCUGGUCUGUAACUGACGCUGAUGUGCGAAAGCGUGGGGAUCAAACAGG
rnacentral:rRNA from 1 species